GGAUUAGGCAUGCAAGUCGAACGAGAAAGGCAUCUUCGGGUGCCGAGUAAAGUGGCGAAAGGGUGAGUAACGCAUAGAUAACCUGCCCGUGAGAUGGGAAUAACUCCUUGAAAGGGGAGCUAAUACCCAAUAAUACGGCAAGCCACAGGGUUUGCCGUCAAAGAUAGUUAACGCCUUCGCUCAGGGAGGGGUCUAUGUCCUAUUAGCUUGUUGGUAGGGUAACAGCCUACCAAGGCAAUGAUGGGUAGCCGACCUGAGAGGGUGACCGGCCACACUGGGACUGAGACACUGCCCAGACUCCUACGGGAGGCUGCAGUCGAGAAUCUUCCGCAAUGCGCGCAAGCGUGACGGAGCGACGCCGCGUGGGGGAUGAAGGCCUUCGGGUUGUAAACCCUUGUCACCUGGAAAGAAAGACAGGUGGUGAAUAGCCAGCCUGUUUGACGUUACCAGGAGAGGAAGCACCGGCUAAAUACGUGCCAGCAGCCGCGGUAAUACGUAUGGUGCUAACGUUGUUCGGAAUCACUGGGCUUAAAGAGCACGUAGGCGGUUGAGAAAGUCUGGUGUGAAAUCCCUCGGCUCAACCGGGGAACUGCACCAGAAACUUCUUAGCUAGAGUACAGGAGGGGAGAGUGGAAUUCCUGGUGGAGCGGUGAAAUGCGUAGAUAUCAGGAGGAACGCCGGUGGCGAAAGCGACUCUCUGGCCUGUUACUGACGCUGAGGUGCGAAAGCUAGGGGAGCGAACGGGAUUAGAUACCCCGGUAGUCCUAGCCCUAAACGAUGGGCACUAAGUAGAGGGGUUUU
rnacentral:rRNA from 1 species